rnacentral:rRNA from 1 species
CAGUAGCCACGGGAAUACGAGGGGGGCGAGCGUUGUUCGGAAUUAUUGGGCGUAAAGGGUGCGUAGGCGGUUCGGUAAGUCUUAUGUGAAAUCUUCGGGCUCAACUCGAAGUCUGCAUGAGAAACUGCCGGGCUUGAGUGUGGGAGAGGUGAGUGGAAUUUCCGGUGUAGCGGUGAAAUGCGUAGAUAUCGGAAGGAACACCUGUGGCGAAAGCGGCUCACUGGACCACAACUGACGCUGAUGCACGAAAGCUAGGGGAGCAAACAGGAUUAGAUACCCGCGUAGUCCCUGUCUCUUAUAC